rnacentral:rRNA from 1 species
AAUACGUAGGUGGCAAACGUUGUCCGGAUUUAUUGGGCGUAAAGCGAGUACAGGCGGUUCAAUAAGUCUGA